GGGGAAUUUUGGACAAUGGGGGAAACCUUGAUCAAGCAACCCCGGGGUUCCGAGGAAGGCCUCCGGGUGGUAAAGACCUUUUGCCGGGAAGGAAACGGGCGGGCCUAAUCCCCCCCAUAAAGAAGGGAACCGGCGAAAUAAGCACGGGCUAACAAGGUGCCAGCAGCCGCGGUAAUACGUAGGGUGCGAGCGUUAAUCGGAAUUACUGGGCGUAAAGCGUACGCAGGCGGCUUGGUAAGACAGGCGUGAAAUCCCCGGGCUUAACCUGGGAACUGCGCUUGUGACUGCCAGGCUAGAGUCUGUCAGAGGGGGGUGGAAUUCCACGUGUAGCAGUGAAAUGCGUAGAGAUGUGGAGGAACACCGAUGGCGAAGGCAGCCCCCUGGGAUAAGACUGACGCUCAUGUACGAAAGCGUGGGGAGCAAACA
rnacentral:rRNA from 1 species